rnacentral:lncRNA from 1 species
CCAGACGCUCGCCUGUCUGUCCCUGCAGAUACUUGGCUCCAGGAGAAGGUUCUGGGGACAGGAACAGAUGGGGUGACCGUGGCCUCUGGGACAUCUCGGGGGUGGCAGGACACACAGACUGAAGGCCGCCUGAGGUGGCUGAGCCCUGGAGGAGGGAAAGGCUCCCAGGGCAGGUGCGGGAUGUCUUUGGUCGCCUCCCACAGCCAGCCCCGUCUGACGGUGGCAGAACAAAGGCAGCAGUACCCAGUCACUGUCGCUGCGAGGCACUCUGACAAGGGACCCUAUUGAGUGUUUCUUUGAAGAAAAUUCACUGUAACCAGAUCAAAUGAGCUUGUUAAUCCGGACACCCCAGGAAAUGGUGCAGGGGAACAGAGGCCGUGCUCACCAUGGCUUUCAUCCUAGUUUCUGGCAGCCCUCGGGGACUCCAAGCCACAGAGCUUCCCCCACGGAGGGGGAAGGAGUGCAGACUGGGGUCAGGCUGGCUGGGGAAGGGACUGCCCAGUGGCCGGCCAGCUCUGCUCGGGACCGAGGCAGGUGGGAUCUGUGGGUGCUUGGGACACUGGGUGGUCAACGGGGCCAGGCUGUGUCACCAGCAGCCGGUUUCCCCUCCUGGUUUGGAAGGCACUGGAGGGCCCUCCUCCCCUCCCCCAGGCCCAGGCCGGCUCCUCUGUCCAGGCUCCCUUGGCGCUGCCAGGGUACCCACUCACACCAGAGCUGGGCACAGGACCUCACAGAGUGCUGCUUGAGGAACUGCGAGGAGUGGGUGUCACAGGACCCCUGACCCCUACCAGGUCCUGCGGAGCUGGUGCAGAGAGGAAGUGGGGGCAGGGUUGGACAUAGUCACAUGUGUCAGGGUGAUGGGGGCGCUCUCAGUGCUGCAUACUAAUUCCAUUUUUAAUCAGGCAGAAUGAGACUCCAGCAUCAAUCUGCCAGGCAGCCAGCUCUGAAUUGUGCUGGAACUGACAGGAAGGUUCUGGGUGGUGACAUCGGCUCAGCAGCAAGGGUUGGAGCCUAAGCUGGGUCCUUUGCGCUGGGUGCAAGGGGGCAUUCCGCUGCCCAGGCUUCCCAGAGGCGCCCCACACACCAGAUGGCACUCCACACUUGACUUUGCUCCCUGACAUGGAUUUACUGAAAAGCCCUCAUUUCUUGGGCAGAGGAGGGCAGUGGGGGAAAGGGGGGUUGGCCACUCAGGGGGAUGCUGGGCCAUUGCUGGCCAGGCCUCAGCCUUCCUUCUAGCCCCACCGUCUUCCUUGCAGUUUGCUUAAAAACUGAGAGGCAAACAUAAAAUAAAAUCCAAAAAUAAAAAUAAAAACAGGCCAGGCACAGUGGCUCACAUCUAUAAUCCCAGCACUUUGAGAGGCCAAAGCAAGAAGAUUGCUUGAGAUGAGGAAUUUGAGACCAGCCUGGGCAACAAAGCGAAAUCCCAUUUUUCCAAAGCAAAAACCCAAAAACAGCUGGGCAUGGUGGCACAGGCCUGCAGCCCCAGCUACUCGGGAGGCUGAGGCAGGAGGACUAUAUGAGGUCAGGAGUUUGAAGCUACUUGAGCUGCGAUGGUGCCACCAUACCCUGAGCCUGAGUGACAGAGCGAGACCCUGUUUCUAAAAAAAAAUUAAAUUUAAAUUUAAAAACUUAAAACAUUAAAUUUAAGUUAGAAAAAUUUAAACAUUUUAAAAACAGAAUUAAAAAUUCCCCUUGGUAUCAACAGUUCCUAUUUCUAAAAGCCAGCAGGGCCAGAUAGCCUCAGUCCUCCUCCCCCGCGGGGCCCAGGUGGCCCUGGGUGCCUGGCCGCUUCAGGACAGCGCUAUACUAGAGGGCCAUGGCUGCCCGCAGGACCCCCUCCAGCAGGCUGAAGACGGUGAUGACCUGUACAGAGCCCGGCUGGGAGGAGACAAGGACGGCAGGGCCUGAUGUUGAGGCGCAGCUCCGUCUUGGUCCCUGCAGGAGGACCCCAGGCCCCUCCCUCAGCCUCUGGAAGCCUCUGCUCGCCAGUCAGUAACGGAGGCCUGCUCCAGGAUGAACGCCCUGGGUCAGGGCAGAGCUGAGCGAGUCAGAGGCCACGUGUCCCUGAUGCAUCCUGAGAGCUCCCAAGACUUACAAAAUGCAACCUGGGGGCCUGGCUCCACCUUUGGGGCAUGUUGUUGGUGCAAACGGUGCCAGAGAAUUUCUUGGGUGUAAACUCAUAGCUUUCAUCAAGUUCUCAAAAGGACCCCAGAAGGCCAGCACCCCUGCAAUAGAGGGACAGGCAGAGAGCCCCGCCUCUCUCCACUGUGGUUGUCCCCAAGAGAGGGAAGGUGGUGCCAGAGAGCAGAGCUACAGGAAGGGGGUGGGGGUCUGAGUGAGCUGGGAGGCCCUGGGGGUCCUGAAACCCCACCCGGGAGGCUGCAGUGCUGGGGGAGCCCACCAGGGCACAUAGAUGAGGGCAGAGGGCACCGCAGGAGGAAGGGGAGGGCUCGCCGGGACUUAGGGGAACGGGACACAGAGGGGGCCACCUGCCCUUCCACCCUGGAGGGCUUCACUGCUUGGAGGCGGCCCUUGGCCCUCAGCCCUGGCCCACCCCUGUCUGGCUGGAGGGAGCUUCAGGGAGGCCCUACCGGCUACCUUCGGCUGAGGCAGCAGGUGAGAGUGACCAAGGGCCAGGGGCGGGAGCUGGGAGGGCCUGUGGCUGUGUGUGCUACAGGGAGCAGGCGGUGGGGGGUCCAGGGCUGACUGCACUGAAGUGGGGACAGAGAACUGUGGCAGUGGAGCACUGCGCUCCCUGCUGGUGCCAUCUGUCAGUACAGGUGGGGCUGGACCCACUGCAGGGUGAGCUAGGCUUGAACUUCAGGACACACAGCCCCGAGGGUCAACGGGUGGACUCUGUCGUUCCUCUUCUGCUCAGCUCCCGGUUUACUACACACAACGGGCUGGACACUGUACUCCCAGGGCACUCUGGAUGUUAGGAAAUUCAAAGCCAGGCACAGGGGCAGGUGGUGACCUGCAGACCCCAGGGUCAGCUGGAGCCAAGCCCCUAAGGCAGCAUUAGGACAGGCCCAUGUCCCCUUGGAGAGAGAACUGUGAAUCAACAGUCACUCAGGGAAGGAGACGAGCCAGGGACAGUUCUCUUCCUACUGCUCAGCGGACACUCCAUCCAGAGUGGCCAAGGACCAUUCUCUGGCUUCUUCUUUCUUCAUGUCCCUUUUAAAACAGUCCCCAAAGCCAAGCAAGCCUGGGGCCGGGACCCUUUCUGCAUAAGGGCACCCAAGGGGAGGCCAGGAGGCGGGGAGACCACAGGUGCCCAUGCCUCUCUCCAGGAGACAAAUCUGGCACCAGAGCAGCUAGAUACAGAGUGUCGAUCGGUGCAUUCACAAACCCUGAGCUAGACACAGGGUGCUGAUUGCUGUGUUUACAAACCUUGAGCUAGAUACAGAGUGCCGAUUGGUGUAUUUACAAUCCCUGAGCUAGACAUAAAGGUUCUCCAAGGCCCCACCAGAGCAGCUAGAUACAGAGUGUCGACUGGUGCAUUCACAAACCCUGAGCUAGACACAGGGUGCUGAUUGCUGUGUUUACAAACCUUGAGCUAGAUACAGAGUGCCGAUUGGUGUAUUCACAAUCCCUGAGCUAGACAUAAAGAUUUUCCACGCCCCCACCAGACUCAGGAGCCCAGCUGGCUUCACUCAGUGGAUUCCGCACCGGGGCUGCAGGUGGAGCUGCCUGCCAGUCCCGCCCCGUGCGCCCGCACGCCUCAGCCCUUGGGUGGUUGAUGGGACUGGGCGCCAUGGAGCAGGGGGUGGCGCUCAUCGGGGAGGCUCGGGCCGCACAGGAGCCCAUGGAGGGGGUGGGAGGCUCAGGCAUGGCGGGCUGCAGGUCCCGAGCCCUGCCCUGCGGGAAGGCAGCUAAGGCCCGGUGAGAAAUCGAGCGCAGCGCCGGUGGUCUGGCACUGCUGGGGGACCCAGUACACCCUCUGCAGCCGCUGGCCCGGGUGCUAAGCCCCUCAUUGCCCGGGGCCGGCAGGGCCGGCCGCCUGCUCAGAGUGCGGGGCCUGCCAAGCCCACGCCCACCCGGAACUCCAGCUGGCGCGCAAGCUCCGCGCGCAGCCCUGGUUCCCGCUCGCGCCUCUCCCUCCACACCUCCCUGCAAGCUGAGGGAGUUGGCUCCGGCCUUGGCCAGCCCAGAAAGGGGCUCCCACAGUGCAGCGGUGGGCCGAAGGGCUCCUCAAGUGACGCCAAAGUGGGAGACCAAGCAGAGGAGGUGCCAAGAGCAAGCGAGGGGCUGUGAGGACUGCCAGCACGCUGUCACCUCUCACCGGGGCCGAGGAACAGGAGCACCGCAGACCUUCUGGUAACUCUCUGCCAUCGGAUUCCCGGGCAAGGGCACCUCUGAGCUCCCUGGCAGGCGAGCCAGGAGAAUGCAGCCAUUCCUGCUGCAGAAAUAUCUGCAUGAUUUGUCAUCUGCCUUCGGUCAGGCCAUCAGCACAGAAAUGCUUCAGAUGCACACAAUCAUGCAUACUUUUGCCCUCUCGCUCCACAAAGAUUACCAUGUGCCAGGCACGGACUUUCUCCCCAUGGAGUCGGACAAUCCUCCUGGGCAGGAGCAUCCAGGCUGUUUCCUGGUGCCCCUUCCCCCUCCAGCCCAGCUGUAGGCCUAGGGGAAGAAGGACACCUGGAGCUUCCAGGCCGACCUUAAGCUGCAUUUUGCAGUGUGGCCAGCAGGACGCAGCAUGGCCCCAGAUCGGGCAGCACUGAGGCUGCAGGCUAAGGAGGCCACCAGGCGGGCAGGGUGAAAGAGCAGGGCUGUGUGAGGUGGCCCCUGGUUACUCCUCUGUGCCCAUGCCCCACCCUCUAUGGGUUUAGGAACUGAAUAUCUGGGGGCCUCUCAGGGCUGAGCCAGGCUCCUGCUCUCAGUUCCUGCAGGCGCUCUCCACAUCCCUUCUCAUGGUCUUCAGUAAACACGAGGACAAGGACAGGAGGGAGGGGAAAGGGAGAGGGUGGGGCUGCUGCGGAAGCCCCUGCCAAGACCACAGACCUCAGGCAAGCUGCUUCCCUGGCAACUCCGCUGCCUGCCCUCCCUGGACCCCAGCACAGUCCCCGGAGUCACCUCUGCCCUCGACAGAGAACAAGUGCACUCUUGGUGACCUUGAACGUGAAGCCUGGUGAGGCUUUGGAGGAGAGGCCCACCUUGCCAGGGCCCUUGGUGUGGCUGAGUCUCUGCUUCCCUUGCCGUCUCAGCCUCUCCCUCCCUCUAGGGGGCUGGGGGUCGGGACAGCGCCUGUGGGGCUCUGGCCCAGCCAGUUGGGCCACAUCAAGCAGGGACCCAGACAAAAGUCAAGGGCAGUGAGUAGGGAGCUGGCACCGCAGAGAGUCCACUUCCCAGGCGCAGCCUUGGCCAUGAUGUUUGAGGACAGCUGCAGGGGCUGUUUGGUGCCCUCAUGUCCUUCUGAUGCUGCAGGUAGCGAUGGGGGCAGAGAGAAGAGGUGGGCUCCGAGCAGGAGUGAGCAAAGGUGGGGCUAGCCCCUGGCUCUGGUGAUGGCACCCUGGGGUGACUAGAAGGUGGGUCCCCAGUGGAGUUUGGGGACAGAAAGGUGCAGGCCAAGCCCAGCACUCCAUCCCCGGAACGGAGAACUGAGCUGAGCAGUGCGGGGCGGGUGGGCUGGGUAGGUGGGAGUCAGGGCUCUCAUUUGGGGCUAGCACAGGGACCCCUCGUACAGUCUCAUACUCUCCUCACAGGAUCCAAUGUACCUGCCAAAUUGAUAAGAAAUUCACCCCAACCCUUCCUUUCCCAGGACAGUCAGACUGGCUUUGGAAAUGAUUAAAAGUUGAUCUGGGCCUGGGCAGAAGGGCAUGGCUGUUAGCCAAAGCUGAACUGCAUUCAUCUUCAAAGACUUAAGAGAAGCAGCCCCUUCUACCCUCAGCCACCAGGACCAUUCUGUCACAUUCUGUGGGAGGCUCCUGCUAAUGGAAUGAGGCCACUCACAGAGCUUGGUCAAUUAGCUCUUGCUGAAAACUGCUAACGUGGAACUUUGUCUUCCCAUCGCCCGCAGAAGGUGCCAGGUGCUGCCUUUGUUGUUAAUGCUCCUCCCACCACCCCAUGGAGACUUGAUGGGCCCCAGAUGUGCUGGGUCAGGAUGUUACCACACAGCAGGUGGAUCCUGUCUCUCCAUGAGUGUAUUCGUCCAUUCUGCAGUGCUAUGAAGAAACACCUGAAACUGGGUAAUUUAUAAGAAAAGAGGUUUAAUUGGCUAACAGUUCCACAGGCUGUACAGGAAGCAUGGCUAGGGAGGCCUCAGGAAACUUUCAAUCAUGGCAGAAGGCAAAGGGGAAGCUGGCACGUCUUCCAUGGCCAGAGAGUGAGGAAGAGAGAGAGGAGGGGGAGGGGCUGCACACAUUUAAAUGACCAGAUCUUGUGAGAUCUCACUCGCUAUCACGAGAACAGCAAGGGGAAAGUCCUACCCCAUGAUCCAGUCACCUCCCACCAGGGAGCUCCUCCAAUGCUGAGGAUUACAAUUCAACAUGAGAUUUGGGUGGGGACACAAAUCUAAACUAUAUUGUCACUGGUGGAGGGUUGUGACUGCAGGUUGUCCAGGUUCUUGGCCUAUUGAACAAAGAAUUGGACAAAAUGCCCAGCAAGGCAAAGAAAGAAUGAAGCAACAAAAGAAUGAAAAUGGGGAUUUAUCGAAAACGAAAGUACACUCCAUGGUUUGGGAGUGGACCGAGCAGCAGCUCAAGGGCCCAGAUACGGAAUCUUCUUGGGUCCAAAUAUCCUCUAGAAGUUUCCCAUUGGCCACAUCAUGCUCACCUCAUGUAAAUGAAGUGGUGGCCUGCAAUCAGUCUGAUUGGUUACAGAAAGCAGCCAACCAGAGGCUGAAGUGAAGUUACAAAGGUUACACUCCUGUUCAACCAAUCAGAGACUAGGGUGAAGUUACAAAGUUAUACUUCUAUUGAAACGAAGAUGUGGCCAGCAAUCAGUCUGAUUGGUUGUGGACAGCAGCCAUUCAGAGGCUGGAGUGAAGUUACAAAGUGGCAAACAAAGACUGGACCUUCAAUCAAUCUGAUUGGUUGUGGACAGCCAAUUUCCCAUCUGCCUAGCAGAAAAGGUGAGGGGGUUGCAAAGGGAGUAGCCUGUGGUCCUUUUGUUACUUAGGCAUGGAAAGGUAGGGUUCUGCCUUCAAUUUAGUUCUAGGAAGUCGGUGUGAAACAGGCUUAGGUUCCCUGUGUCCAGACCCUAUUCUCCUGCCUCAAUAUUGGUAUCACCCAAUGAUCACCCAGUGACCAUAACCAAGGAGGAUUUAGCAAUGGGAUUUUGUUACUUGUAACAGGGAACCAGCAGGGACAGUUCCCAAGGCAGUGUGUCUCUGAGCUGGGCACUGGGUCAAAUUUUAGAAGCAUAGGCUAACGAGGUGUGAUGUUACUGGAAACUGCCAUGGGGGUGACACCAGAGCUCCAACUGCUUUUUUUUUUUUUAAUUUAUUAUUAUUAUACUUUAAGUUUUAGGGUACAUGUGCACAAUGUGCAGGUUAGUUACAUAUGUAUACAUGUGCCAUGCUGGUGCGCUGCACCCACUAACUCGUCAUCUAGCAUUAGGUAUAUCUCCCAGUGCUAUCCCUCUCCCCUCCCCCCACCCCACAACAGUCCCCAGAGUGUGAUGUUCCCCUUCCUGUGUCCAUGUGUUCUCAUUAUUCAAUUCCCACCUAUGAGUGAGAAUAUGCGGUGUUUGGUUUUUUGUUCUUGCAAUAGUUUACUGAGAAUGAUGAUUUCCAACUUCAUCCAUGUCCCUACAAAGGACGUGAACUCAUCAUUUUUUAUGGCUGCAUAGUAUUCCAUGGUGUAUAUGUGCCACAUUUUCUUAAUCCAGUCUAUCAUUGUUGGACAUUUGGGUUGGUUCCAAGUCUUUGCUGUUGUGAAUAAUGCUGCAAUAAACAUACGUGUGCAUGUGUCUUUA